rnacentral:rRNA from 1 species
UGGCUCAGAUUGAACGCUGGCGGCAGGCCUAACACAUGCAAGUCGAGCGGUAGCACAGAGAGCUUGCUCUCGGGUGACGAGCGGCGGACGGGUGAGUAAUGUCUGGGAAACUGCCUGAUGGAGGGGGAUAACUACUGGAAACGGUAGCUAAUACCGCAUAACGUCGCAAGACCAAAGUGGGGGACCUUCGGGCCUCAUGCCAUCAGAUGUGCCCAGAUGGGAUUAGCUAGUAGGUGGGGUAACGGCUCACCUAGGCGACGAUCCCUAGCUGGUCUGAGAGGAUACCAGCCACACUGGAACUGAGACACGGUCCAGACUCCUACGGGAGGCAGCAGUGGGGAAUAUUGCACAAUGGGCGCAAGCCUGAUGCAGCCAUGCCGCGUGUGUGAAGAAGGCCUCGGGUUGUAAAGCACUUUCAGCGGGGAGGAAGGCGGUGAGGUUAAUAACCUCAUCGAUUGACGUUACCCGCAGAAGAAGCACCGGCUAACUCCGUGCCAGCAGCCGCGGUAAUACGGAGGGUGCAAGCGUUAACGGAAUUACUGGGCGUAAAGCGCACGCAGGCGGUCUGUCAAGUCGGAUGUGAAAUCCCCGGGCUCAACCGGGAACUGCAUUCGAAACUGGCAGGCUAGAGUCUUGUAGAGGGGGGUAGAAUUCCAGGUGUAGCGGUGAUGCGUAGAGAUCUGGAGGAAUACCGGUGGCGAAGGCGGCCCCCUGGACAAAGACUGACGCUCAGGUGCGAAAGCGUGGGGAGCAAACAGGAUUAGAUACCCUGGUAGUCCACGCCGUAAACGAUGUCGAUUUGGAGGUUGUGCCCUUGAGGCGUGGCUUCCGGAGCUAACGCGUUAAAUCGACCGCCUGGGGAGUACGGCCGCAAGGUUAAAACUCAAAUGAAUUGACGGGGGCCCGCACAAGCGGUGGAGCAUGUGGUUUAAUUCGAUGCAACGCGAAGAACCUUACCUGGUCUUGACAUCCACAGAACUUUCCAGAGAUGGAUUGGUGCCUUCGGGAACUGUGAGACAGGUGCUGCAUGGCUGUCGUCAGCUCGUGUUGUGAAAUGUUGGGUUAAGUCCCGCAACGAGCGCAACCCUUAUCCUUUGUUGCCAGCGGUUAGGCCGGGAACUCAAAGGAGACUGCCAGUGAUAAACUGGAGGAAGGUGGGGAUGACGUCAAGUCAUCAUGGCCCUUACGACCAGGGCUACACACGUGCUACAAUGGCAUAUACAAAGAGAAGCGACCUCGCGAGAGCAAGCGGACCUCAUAAAGUAUGUCGUAGUCCGGAUUGGAGUCUGCAACUCGACUCCAUGAAGUCGGAAUCGCUAGUAAUCGUAGAUCAGAAUGCUACGGUGAAUACGUUCCCGGGCCUUGUACACACCGCCCGUCACACCAUGGGAGUGGGUUGCAAAAGAAGUAGGUAGCUUAACCUUCGGGAGGGCGCUUACCACUUUGUGAUUCAUGACUGGGGUGAAGUCGUAACAAGGUAACCGUAGGGGAACCUGC